rnacentral:rRNA from 1 species
CCUGCGAGUCGCACGAGUUCACACUCGUGGCAAACGGCUCAGUAACACGUGGCCAAACUGCCCCAUGGACGCGGAUAAUUUCGGGAAACUGAGGCUAAUCCGUGAUACUGCUCUCGAGCUGGAAUGCUGAGAGCACGAAACGCUCCGGCGCCAUAGGAUGUGGCUGCGGCCGAUUAGGUAGACGGUGGGGUAACGGCCCACCGUGCCGAUAAUCGGUACGGGUAGUGAGAGCUAGAGCCCGGAGACGGACUCUGAGACAAGAGUCCGGGCCCUACGGGGCGCAGCAGGCGCGAAACCUUUACACUGCACGACAGUGCGAUAGGGGGAUUCCGAGUGCGAGGGCAUACAGUCCUCGCUUUUCUGUACCUUAAGGUGGUACAGGAAUAAGAGCUGGGCAAGACCGGUGCCAGCCGCCGCGGUAAUACCGGCAGCUCAAGUGAUGACCGAUUUUAUUGGGCCUAAAGCGUCCGUAGCCGGCCAGGUUGGUCCGUCGGGAAAUCCACUCGCUCAACGAGUGGGCGUCCGGCGGAUACCGCCUGGCUUGGGACCGGGAGACCAGAGGGGUACGUCUGGGGUAGGAGUGAAAUCCUGUAAUCCUAGACGGACCAUCGGUGGCGAAAGCGCCUCUGGAGAACGGAUCCGACGGUGAGGGACGAAAGCUAGGGUCUCGAACCGGAUUAGAUACCCGGGUAGUCCUAGCCGUAAACGAUGCUCACUAGGUGUGACGCAGGCUACGAGCCUGCGUUGUGCCGUAGGGAAGCCGUGAAGUGAGCCGCCUAGGCAGAUACGUCCGCAAGAUGAACUCAAA